AAAAAAAAACUCAAAAGACUUGCCAAUACUAGCCAAUCAAAUCCUUCCUUCAAUUUUAGAAAACAGGAAUUGCAUGUAAACAAGUCUGGGCCAACUCUUACAACCUGCUUUCUAUAUCCUCCUCCUCUGUUCUCCAUCUUUCCUAGUUCUUUGAGCCCCAGUGGUCAGGCUGAGCUGAGUAUGAGAGAGGGCCCUCAAGAGGCCCUGGAAGCAUAUUCCCUCAGCUCCUAAAUGAAGUCUCCAUAAGGUGACCCUAGGAGACUGUGCAGCGUGACUGGCCGCUUGUUUUAUCCCAGACUCUUUUCCAGGGUCUUACUUCUGUCAUCCAGACUGGAGUGCAGCAGUGCGAUCUCAGCUCACUGCAACCUCCACCUCCCAGGUUUAAGCGACUCUCCUGCCUCAGCCUCCACAAUAACUGGGACCACAGUUGUUUAGUUUAUGUGAUGAAUCACGUUUAUUGAUUUGGUUAUGUUGAAGCAACCUGGCAUCCUGGGGAUGAAGCCAACUUAAUCUCAGACCAAACCUUCUUAAGCAACUUCAGCAAAGUCUCAGAGUACAAAAUCGGUGUGCAAAAAUCACCAACAACAGGCAAGCCGAAAGUCAAAUCAUGAAUGAAUUUCCAUUCACAGUUGCUGCAAAAAACAAACAAACAAAACCUAGGAAUACAGCUAACAAGGGAAGGGAAGGACCUCUUCAAGGAAAACUACAAACCACUGCCCAAAGAAAUCAGAAAGGAC
rnacentral:lncRNA from 1 species